rnacentral:lncRNA from 1 species
CCAAAGGUUUCAUAAUAAACAGGUAAUAGGUACUACCUCAUCUACUUCCCAUCCCACAAUUUAAUUAGAUCCUAAUCAUGCAAUGUGUGAGGAUGGAUCUAAUGCAAUAAAAACUGGGUUGUAGAAAAGGUAUGAUCAAAGUGUUACUUGCCUUGCUGAUGAUCUGCGAGUCCUAGAGAUUCGAAGUAACAAGCGGCGCAAUCCGGGUAAUCUAUCGCAGACAAACAACAAGCAUACAAUAAGUACACAUCUAAUGCACAGGUAAAACUCGAACAAGAGAUCGAACCAGAUAGUUCAACUUAAGAACUCCAGUUGCAAAGAAAGAAAGAACCGAACAAAGAAACCAAAAACAAACAGCGGAAGAAAACAACUCGGUUCUAGCAAGUUGAAUCUAGGUCAAAUUUUACCGUAGCAAAAACUUAGUUAAAGUUGAUUAGUCGGAACGGCGGUUUCGAAACAAAACUCCAGGCGCUAGAAUCACCCGAUUCCGAUAAACGAGCGAGAAGAUAAACUAGAACGAAGAUCGGAUCUGAGAUCGCGAUCGCGGAAUAAAUCCGACGAGAAGAAAAAGAAGAACGGUUGAACGAACGGACGUUCGUUAACCUAGAAGAAUCCGGUGAUCACGUUCGUUAGGACGAACGGUCCAGCGAACGGUCUCUAGGCAACUAAAUCGGAAAAGAAAACGAAUCCGAUCUAGGGUUUCGAGAAAAGAAAACCGAACGAAAAACCGAUCUAGAAAAACGGAAUGGUUUAGAGAAGAAAAGAAUCGGAAAGAUUUAGAAGAAACCGAUCCGAAGAAAAGAAAAAGGUGCGGCGCGGUACCUCCGGCGAGGUCUCCGGCGAGGGACUCCGGUGGCGAGCAAGGGCGGCGGUGGCGCAAGGGCGGCGGCGGUGACGCAGGGCGGCGGCGCGGGGCAAGGGGCGCGGCGUGUGGUGAGGGUGCGGUGGUGGCUUGGGGCUUGACGUGAUGUUUAGAGGGGGGGUGCUUGGGUAUUUAUAUAGGUGAGGGGGAGAGGAUACUUGGGGUAGGGGGCAAGAAAUAAGAGAAGGAAAAAGAGAAGGAGAGGGAGAUUGGAGUCCAAGUAGGACUCCUACUUGGGUGCGGCGGCGGCUCCCUGGCGCGCUAGGCGCGCGGCGCGGGCGAGGCCUGGCCGGCCGGCCUGCUGGCUGGGCCUUGGCCCAAGGCGCGCUGCUGGAAUUUUUUAAACGGUUUCGCGCGCAGAAAAAAAAACAGAAAAGAGAACUAAACGAAAUCCAAAACUUCUAAAGUAUAUUUUCCCCGACUCCUAAAAAUGAGUCGAACAAAAUGAACUUUUCUCGGGACCUAGAAUGCAAUUUUUGAAAACGCGCAUUUUUCCCUAUCCAAAUAAAAAGGCAAAUGAAACUCCGGCAAAUCCAAUGAUCCUCUUUUGAAAAUUUGAGAAGAACUCAAAUAUGAUAAUGACGAAAUCUCCAACUCUCUCCGAGGGUCCUUGAGUUGCGUGAAAUUUCUAGGAUCGGCAAAAUGCAAGAAAAUAUGAUAUGCAUGAUGAUCUAGUGUAUACCAUUCCAAAUUGAAAUUUGGGAUGUUACAAACCUACCCCCCUUAAGAUGAAUGUCGCCCUCGAGAUUCGGGUUGGCUAGAAAAUAGGUGAUGGUGGUCCUUGAGCAAAUCUUCUUCUCUCUCCCAGGUGGCUUCAUCCUCUGAGUGGUGGUUCCACUAAACUUUGCAAAACUUGAUAACCUUGGUGCGGGUAACUCUGCUGGCAUAAUCAAGAAUCUUGACUGGUUUCUCUUCAUACGUUAAGUCGUCCUUCAACUGAAUCGCUUCAAGCGGCACUGUAUCUCUUAAUGGUACCUCCGCCAUCUCGGCGUGACAUUUCUUCAGCUGAGAAACAUGAAAUACAUCAUGUACUCCCGACAGUCCCUCUGGUAAUUCCAACUUAUAAGCGACUUCUCCCAUGCGUUGCAUGAUCUUGUACGGUCCAACGAAACGCGGUGCUAACUUUCCCUUAACUCCAAAGCGCUUAACUCCUCGAAGUGGGGAUACUCGGAGAUACACUCUGUCUCCGGUUUCGUAAACUGUCUCCUUGCGUUUAGCAUCUGCGUAGCUCUUCUGCCUGGACUGGGCUACCUUGAGCCUAUCGCGAAUCAACUUAACCUUCUGUUCAGACUCUUUAAUCAAAUCGGGUCCAAACAACUGACGGUCUCCAACUUCGUCCCAUGACAACGGUGUCCUGCACCUCCUUCCGUAUAAAGCUUCAAAAGGUGCCAUCUUCAAACUGGUUUGGUAACUGUUGUUAUAAGAAAAUUCCACAGACGGCAAAUUAUCGUCCCAACUAGAUCCAUAAUCUAGUGCACAAGCUCUCAGCAUAUCUUCCAAAAUCUGAUUGACUCUCUUGGUCUGUCCAUCUGUCUGCGGAUGAAAAGCGGUGCUGAACUCUAGCCUGGUUCCCAAAGUUUCAUACAAUACUCCUUGGAACUCCAUGCAAACAAAUGAUCCUAGUCAUAUAUAUCUUUGCCAACUUAGCACUAGUGUAGGUGGUCUUAACUGGAAUGAAAUGUGCUACCUUCGUCAAGCGAUCAACUACUACCCAUAUCGAGUCAUAUCCUGCUUUCGUCCUGGGUAGUCCUGUGAUAAAAUCCAUGCCUAUCUUAUCCCACUUCCAUUCGGGUAUCGGCAAUGGUUGUAACAAUCCGGCUGGCUUCUGAUGCUCUGCCCUUACUCUAUGACAUACAUCACAACUGCUACAUAUGCUGCAAUAUCCUUUUUCAUUCCGUUCCACCAGAAUGUUUCCUUUAAAUCCAAAUACAUCUUGGUAUUUCCUGGGUGAAUCGAAUAUGGUGAAUCAUGUGCCUCUUGUAGAAUCAACUUCCUGAUCUCUGGGUCGUUUGGCACAUAAACACGGUCCUCAAACCAUAGGGUAUCGUGCUCAUCCUCACGAAAUCCCUUUACUUUUCCUUUGCUUAGUUUCUCUUUUAUAGCAGCAAUUUCCUUGUCAGAUUUCUGAGCUUCUCUGAUUUUAUCCAUCAAUGUUGACUAAGUUUCCAAUGCUGCUACAUAGCCUCUCGUAACUAUUUCCAAACAUAGCUCACGAAGGUUUUCUGCUAACUCCUUUGGUAUACUUCCCGUCAUUAUCGUAUUCACAUGGCUCUUACGGCUCAAUGCGUCAGCUACUACAUUAGCUUUACCGGGAUGGUAAUGCAAUCUCAUAUCGUAAUCCUUGAUGAGCUCCAACCAUCUCCUUUGUCUGAGGUUCAACUCCUUCUGCGUGAAAAUGUACUUCAAACUCUUGUGAUCCGUGUACACCUCACAAUGAUUUCCAAUGAGAAAAUGUCUCCAUGUCUUCAAUGCAUGCACUACGGCUGCUAACUCCAAAUCAUGUGUGGCGUAAUCCAACUCAUGAGGCUUCAGUUGUCGUGAAGCAUACGAAACAACUCUACCUUCCUGCAUAAGCACCGCUCCAAGUCCUCAACGUGAAGCGUCGCAAUACACCUCAUAAUCCUUGGUCUGAUCUGGCAAAAUCAAUACCGGUGAGGUAACCAAUCGUUUCUUCAACUCCUGGAAACUAGCCUCACACUCCUCAGUCCAAUUGAACUUGGUAUCCUUCUUCAACAACUCCAUCAUAGGCUUCGCAAUCUUUGAAAAGUUCUCAAUGAAUCUCCGGUAGUAUUCUGCGAGUCCAAGAAAACUCCGGAUCUCUCCCACUAUCGUUGGUGCUUCCCAUUCGGUUACGGUCUCAACCUUUGCGGGGUCAACUGCUAUCCCUUCUCCGGAUAUAAUGUGUCCGAGGAAUCCAACUUCCUUCAACCAAAACUCACAUUUGCUAAAUUUGGCAUAUAACUGAUGUUCCCUUAGCUUCUCCAAUACCAAACGCAAAUGUUCCUUAUGCUCUUCUUCAUUCUUCGAGUAAACCAGGAUAUCAUCAAUGAACACUACGACGAACUUAUCCAAAAACUCCAUAAAUACCUUGUUCAGCAGGUUCAUAAAAUAGGAAGGCGCGUUAGUCAAUCCAAAUGACAUAACGGUAUACUCAUACAGUCCAUAUCUCGUGGUAAAAGCUGUCUUAGGUAUGUCCUGCUCUCGAAUCUUCAACUGGUGGUACCCUGAUCGUAAAUCGAUCUUGGAAAACACUUUAGCUCCUUGCAACCGAUCAAACAGAUCAUUAAUCAUUGGUAGUGGGUACUUGUUCUUGAUGGUUACUUCAUUCAAUCCACGGUAAUCAACAACCAUCCUUAUUGAUCCAUCCUUCUUCUCCACUAGAAGUACGGGUGAUCCCCAAGGCAAAGAACUUGGGCGAAUGUAACCUUUCUCUAGUAACUCCUUAAUCUGAUUCUUAAUUUCUACCAACUCUUUUGCUGGCAUCCUAUACGGUCUCUUUGAUAUUGGUCCAGUGCCUGGCAAUAACUCAAUCAAAAACUCAACGUCUCUAUCCGGUGGCAUGCCUGGCAACUCUUCUGGAAAUACAUCAGAAAAAUCCUUUACCACUAGUACUUCUUCCUGCACCACUCCUGAUAAAGAAUUCACUUGAUUCUUACUUGAUCCAUGUCGUGAUACAUACUUGAUCCGUCUUCCUUCUGGUGUGGUAAGCAAAAUUGACUUACUGGCGCAUUCAAUAUUCCCUUCAUACUUUGAUAACCAAUCCAUGCCUAAUAUCACAUCCAAUCCUUGAGAUUCCAGUACUAUUAGGUCUGAGGGAAAAACAUAGUUACCAAUCCUUAAUGGUAACCGAUCACACCAUCGUCUAGCCAUAAACUCCGCUCCUGGUGAGCUUACUAACAUGGGUGACCUAAGGGCUUGGGUUGGCAGGUUAUAUUUAUCCACAAAUCCCCUUGAUAUGUAUGAAUGCGAUGCACCAGUAUCGAAAAGAAUGAGUGCGGUAAAAGACUUAACCAAAAACUUACCGAUCACUGCAUCAGGCUGAUCUUCAACCUCCACCACGCUAACGUGGUUCACCUGUCCCCUAUUGAAAGGGUUUGGCUUCUUCCCUGAGCUUCCAUUGCCAUUUCCAUUCUGGCCUUCAGGACAUUCAUUUGCAUAAUGUCCGGUCUUGGAACACUUGAAACAGGUGACUUGACUCAGAUCUCUCUUGGUUGGGGUUGAUGGGGUGGUCCGGUUCUGGCCGUUGCUUCCUCCAUUCCCAUUACCAUUCUUGUGGCCGUUGUGGUUGUGCGAGCUACCUCCUCCAUGGGUAUGCUGAAAUUGAAAUCCCGAUUUAGGGGUAAAACGGGGCUUCUGCUGGGCUCCAGAGUUAUACUUUCCCUGUCCAUACUUCCUCUUGCGGUUCUCAAUCCGCUGUUGCUUUCCUUCAAUCAUGAUGGCACGAUCUACCAACUCCUGGUAGUUUCUGAAACUUGCUACCAUCAGCUGCAUGCUUAACUCAUCAUUUAAUCCUUCUAGAAACUUCUCCUGCUUAGAUGCAUCCGUAGCAACGUCAUCUGGGGCAUAACGUGCUAGCUUGCUGAAGUCGUCAACGUAUUGGCCAUCUGUCCUUCCUCCUUGGCGUAAGUUGCGAAACUCACGCUUCUUCAUGGCCAUAGCUCCUACUGAAACAUGUGCAGUGCGGAAAGCUUGCUGGAACUGAUCCCAUGUGACGGUGUCAACUGGGAAGGUGGCUGUGAAAUUCUCCCACCAUGCUGCCGCGGGUCCGUCAAGCUGAUGUGCGGCAAACUUCACUUUCUCACCAUCCGUGCAUCCUGCAGUGGUCAACUCCCUUCCUAUCUUGCGGAGCCAAUCGUCUGCUACUAUCGGCUCGGUGCUACCAUAAAACACCGGUGGAUUCAGCCUAAGGAAAAGGGCUAAGUGGUCAACAGGGGGUGGUGGUGGUGGUGGGUUGUUGUUGUUGUUGUUCUGCUGAUUCUGAACUAACAUCUGCAUCAAUUGAUUCUGCUGCUGGAUCAAUUGAGUGAGAUCCGGUGGAAAUCCAUUGUCACGUCUCGGAGGCAUCUGAGGGUUUAGAAAAGAAGAGAUAUAAGAAUAGAAUGAGGUCUAAAGAGAAAACACUACCCCAAUGCACAUGAGCAAAUUCACACAAAAUCACUUCAUUCAAUCAAACAAGGGCAUACAAUCGAUCUAGCUAUCGCAAAAGUGCUUGAACUAUAGUGUUUACAUGGGGGGAAAUACUACUAAUAUUUGGUGGUCAUCUAGAAAUUUGAACCGGUGGAAGACUCCAUGAUGUCCGCUCCACCUUCGUCUUCAAAUUUGGGUUCACUUGGAUCCGAGUCGGUGUCGUCGAUGAUGAUGUAAUUAUCCGGACAUGCGACGUACUCGUCUUCCUCCUUGGAUGCUAACUUCCUCUUGAGUUCUUCAAUCUCCUGCUUAAGAUCGACGUUGUGUCUUGCUAGAGCUACGAUCUCGUCCAUGUAGUCCUUGCAUGUAGCCUUCAGUUCUCCUUCUAGCUCGAUGAUCCUUGUCUUCGCAUUCUUCAACUCCAUCAUAUCAUUGCACAUCUGGUUCUCGUGGCGUCGAAUGUGCUGGUUUAACUCCUGGAUAAAAGCUGCAAUGGAUCUAUCCUUCUUGGUGCUGACUAACUCCCAUAGUUCAUCUCGGCGUCCGCAAAUCUGGUAGAUAGUGUCCUUGAGGUCUUCUUGAUAAACUUCUCCAAUGCGUCCUAUGGUGAUAUGGGCUGCCAUGCUCCUUCCUAGACUCCAAGUUGGUGCAUUGAAAACACUAUCUAUGGGCUUUGUGAUUGGCGCAAAUGUCCUUCCCGGAACGUGAGCUUGAAUCUUCCAGCGUUCCUCUUCAGGCAAAGUGGCGUUAAAGGUUCCCGUGAAGCUUGGUAACCCAAUGUUUAGGUACUUGGUGAUUUCCUUCAAGUGAAAUCCAAAAGGUGUGCCUUCAUCCGGUUGAGCGUACGUAAUCUUCGCGUCCUUCAUUCUAAAGAGUGGAAAAGAUAAGGAGUUAGAAAAUGAGGAGAGAAUGGUGAUCUAUGGCUUUAACUUAGUGGUCGUGUCCUAUAGUCAGCGUGUGCUCUGAUACCAUCUUUGUAGCGACCCGACCCGAAUGGAUCAAGUCUACUGUGCUCCGGUGUCAUCCCUGGAUCAGUAAUGCUGACACCACACAGUACUUCGAAGGAUUUAUAGCAGAGUAGCAAUCACACACUUAAUACAUCGAUGUCUCAAAAGAGAACUUAUUACAAUAAGUUGGCUUAAGGCCAUCUAAUAUCGAUAACAGCGGAAGACUUGGAAGGUAAAUGGGUCCAUCAACUCCAACAGCAUCACGGAGUAUAGAACCACGACCUAAAAGCACCUCAAUCGUCGUCUGAAAAGUUUGCAACAUUAACGUUGCAGCCCGAAACGGGUCAGCACAUGGAAUAUGCUGGCAAGGUAACACAUAUAGAGUAAUGGAAUGAAACAGCUAUACUAUAUGCAUAUUUGGCUGGUGGAAAGCUCUAUGGUUACUAUUUUGCGUAAAGCCAAUUUUUCCCUACUGCAAAGGAAUACAUUUAUUUAACUAUCAUGGUGGUUGUUAAACAUUGAGAAUGGUUGACAGCAUUCUCAAUCCCAAAUAAAGUAAUUAAAACCCAACAAUAUUAAUUAGAAGUAACAUGUUGAGAUUCACAUGAUAUUCAAAUACUAGAUACUCAAGAUUGUCCAUAACCGGGGACACGGCUAAUCAUGAUUAGUUUAUUACACUCUGCAGAGGUUUGCGCACUUUUCCCCACAAGAUUCGAUCGCCUCCGUUGGUUUUCUCGCACUACUGGUGUUUGAGAAACGGAUGACCGAGACAUAGUCUUUCAGAAGCGCUAGCACCUUACGAUGGAGUAGACCGUACCACCUACGUCCCCUACAUCUGCUAGUCUACCCCUAUAAGAGUUCGCACGACUUAGUCAACUAUGCCAGAGCCCAUAUUGGCUUGUGGCUGCACACGUAAGUAUUUAGUAUGAAAGAUCUUAUGAUCCCUUUGAGCCUGGGUGGCGGUCCAAAAUAAAACAGGCAAGUCCUGAUAGACAUCAGGUGCCUCAAUCCACCCAGAUGUGUGUUUAAGUUGCCACCUUAGAUAAACCAUUAAAAUUAUCAAUCUCACAUUUGUCAUGGAUAUCACUCACCCAAUCCAUGUCUACUAGCAUAGCAUGGCAUAAUAAGCAAACGUAGAAGUAACUCCCAAAGGUUUCAUAAUAAACAGGUAAUAGGUACUACCUCAUCUACUUCCCAUCCAACAAUUUAAUUAGAUCCUAAUCAUGCAAUGUGUGAGGAUGGAUCUAAUGCAAUAAAAACUGGGUUGUAGAAAAGGUAUGAUCAAAGUGUUACUUGCCUUGCUGAUGAUCCGCGAGUCCUAGAGAUUCGAAGUAACAAGCGGCGCAAUCUGGGUAAUCUAUCGCAGACAAACAACAAGCAUACAAUAAGUACUCAUCUAAUGCAUAGGUAAAACUCGAACAAGAGAUCGAACCAGAUAGUUCAACUUAAGAACUCCGGUUGCAAAGAAAGAAAGAACCGAACAAAGAAACCGAAAACAAAUGGCGGAAGAAAACAACUCGGUUCUAGCAAGUUGAAUCUAGGUCAAAUUUUACCAUAGCAAAAACUUAGUUAAAGUUGAUUAGUCGGAACAGCGGUUUCGAAACGAAACUCCA